rnacentral:rRNA from 1 species
AGUGAGCGCUGGCGGUAGGCCUAACACAUGCAAGUCGAACGGCAGCACAGUAAGAGCUUGCUCUUACGGGUGGCGAGUGGCGGACGGGUGAGGAAUACAUCGGAAUCUACUUUUUCGUGGGGGAUAACGUAGGGAAACUUACGCUAAUACCGCAUACGACCUACGGGUGAAAGCAGGGGAUCUUCGGACCUUGCGCGAUUGAAUGAGCCGAUGUCGGAUUAGCUAGUUGGCGGGGUAAAGGCCCACCAAGGCGACGAUCCGUAGCUGGUCUGAGAGGAUGAUCAGACACACUGGAACUGAGACACGGUCCAGACUCCUACGGGAGGCAGCAGUGGGGAAUAUUGGACAAUGGGCGCAAGCCUGAUCCAGCCAUACCGCGUGGGUGAAGAAGGCCUUCGGGUUGUAAAGCCCUUUUGUUUGGAAAGAAAAGCAGCAGGUUAAUACCCCGCUGUUCUGACGGUACCCAAAGAAUAAGCACCGGCUAACUUCGUG